rnacentral:rRNA from 1 species
GAUGAACGCUGGCGGCGUGCCUAAUACAUGCAAGUCGAGCGAACGGACGAGAAGCUUGCUUCUCUGAUGUUAGCGGCGGACGGGUGAGUAACACGUGGAUAACCUACCUAUAAGACUGGGAUAACUUCGGGAAACCGUAGCUAAUACCGGAUAAUAUUUUGAACCGCAUGGUUCAAAAGUGAAAGACGGUCUUGCUGUCACUUAUAGAUGGAUCCGCGCUGCAUUAGCUAGUUGGUAAGGUAACGGCUUACCAAGGCAACGAUGCAUAGCCGACCUGAGAGGGUGAUCGGCCACACUGGGACUGAGACACGGUCCAGACUCCUACGGGAGGCAGCAGUAGGGAAUCUUCCGCAAUGGGCGAAAGCCUGAAGGAGCAACGCCGCGUGAGUGAUGAAGGUCUGCGGAUCGUAAAACUCUGUUAUUAGGGAAGAACAUAUGUGUAAGUAACUGUGCACAUCUUGACGGUACCUAAUCAGAAAGCCACGGCUAACUACGU